ACUUGCUCUUGAGAGGAAUUAUUUUGACUUUCGUAUGGGGAGAGAAAGAAAAGGAGUUCCUCCAGGACUUUGGAUUGGCCUCACAGUGGCCUCUCUCGCCUAGAGGAGCACUACAGCU